UUAACGAUUAAAAGCCAUGUGGGCUUGUGUUUGUAGUACCGGUGCUAUGUUGCAGGUUCUCUCUGCGUUUCUGUUGGCGUGUUUCGCUUUCAGUAAAGUGAUAAUAGCGGCCACAUUGCACUACUGUGACUACGGUAGCUGCUGUGCCUGCUGGCAUUCUGAUGGAAACCUGUUUACCCGCCGAGGUUAAGGAUUAAAGUCGAGACUGCCGUGACAACUAUGCUGCUCGUGCCGGAUGUGACGGGUCUGGAGUAAUUGCACCAAGAAUGACAAGAAAUCACUACAGACUUUAUUGAAGACUAGAGCGAAGAACAACUCUGUUAUUAUUUAUCUAUUUAUCUAUUUAUUACCAGUUAUAACUUUUAGAUUAUUUAAUUCUGUGUUUGUAUGAUUUGUGUAAAUACUAUUUAUUUAAAGUAUCCUCCAGACCACCCAAGAAGGAUGGGCCCUGCUGAGUCUGGUUCCUCUCAAGGUUUCUUCCUGUAAUUUUCAGGGAGUUUUUCCUUGCCACAGUCGCCCUCGGCUUGCUCAACAGGGGUUUUUUGUAUCUGUUGGUCCUAGAUUUUGUAAAGUUGCUUUGAGACAAUGUCUAUUGUAAAAAGCGCUAUAUAAAUAAAGUUGACUUGACUUGACUUUCACUGUGGGGGAAACUGCAUUGCUGUAUCCUGGUCCUUUAGCCCGGAUCGUGCUGGCUCGGUUCCAGUUCCCUGAGAGCUACUGUUUUGCCUGAGCUACUGUUUUGCCUGCAUUGGUGUUUUACCUAAGCUACUGUUUUGCCUAAAAUACUGUUUGGUCGGACUUUGCCAUUUUUGUAUUAGUGUUUUGUCUGAGUCAUAUUUUGAUUUAUUGUUUUGUAUAAAUACAUUUUGUUUAUAUGAUUGAUUGUUUCCAUUUAUUUUGAUUUAUGGUUUAUUUUAUUGGAGUACUAUUGUAUGUGUAUUUUCUAUUUUUGUCUUUUGUUUGUGUGGUGUAAGGGGGCUGCAAGAGACUAGGGACCCUGUGCUUACCUCACUGAGAGAGAAGCGAGAGAGAUAAGUGUCCUUUGCCUCUUGAGCUAUUAAUUAUCAUUGGUCUUUUCCCCCUCCACCACCUGUUGUGUUUUAUAAUUAUUUUUUUCUCUUUUCCUCUGGCUGAACAGGAGCUGUGGGCCAAAGCGGGAGGCAGACGGACUUUGGUGGUGGAACCCCUUUCACUUGCCCUGCAGUCUAGAGCACGUUGGGUGUUAUUGAGGUGUGCGGUGUGAUCACGUGUGGUGUGUAGUGUAGGAGCUUCCUUUACUUCCAUAUUUUCCGCUGCCGUGGUAAGCACUCAGCCCUCUUCCUUCCUGCCUUGGCCUUGUUUUUAAAUUGUAAAUGGACCCAUAAAGUAUUAAGUGUGAUGCGCUAAUAAUUUUAUACUAAUCGUGUCUGUGUUUCAGAACAUGGUUUGUCUCUUGUGGAAACUUUUGUAAUCAAUUGCUAAUAAAAUUGACUAAGUGUUGGAA